UCUAUACCAUGAGAUUGUCUUCACUCCUC
rnacentral:piRNA from 1 species